AUUUCCCCAGUACCUGCCAGCGGAUGAUGAGAGAACAGUAAGUGACAAACUGGUGGACUAUAAAUAGUGGACAUACUCUCUAUUAUCACUGGAUCUUUCUAAUGCAGUUUCAUUUCAGAAUAAAACCACAGACAAAGAGGUUUGAACAACCAAAUAUGGCUCUUUUGCUCAGUUUACGUAUAAUGUUCAGAGUUCAUUUAAUUAAAGGAAUAGUGCAUCCAAAAAAGAAGUCCAUUCCCUGUUGUCCUCUUCGCCAACGUAUUUGUUCUGGAUGGUUUUCGCUUGUAAGCUGUGCUUGAUGUGUACACGUUUCUCUCCUGAUUCAGAUGAGACGACUUUAAUUAGCAAUAUAUGAAUAGAGGACUUGUAUUUCAGCCCGAAGAUGCUAAAAGUUUUGUGAAUUGAUUCAUAAAAUGUAGUCAUUUGAAUUAUUUUGGUGUUUUUAUCAGGACUCUCAUUUUGACGGCACCCAUUCAUAGCAGAGUUGGUGAGCAAGUGAUGCAAUGCUAUAAAUUUCUCCAAAUCUGUUCAUAUGAAGAAAUACAAACUCAUCUACAUCUUCGAUGGCCUGAGGAUGAGAGGAUGGUAGAUUUUAAGAAAUCUCCGAACUAAUCCAAAAGCGGCUGCCACACAGCAUAAUGCUCGAUCUUCCGGUAAAAUGGCAGACUUCUCUCUGGUGAUGUAUGCUGGACCCAAAAUCCUUACUAUCAACUGCAGUCUCACGUUGAUAUUUGAUUGCAACACCCACAUUUCAAACUCCAAUCAACAUCUGAUGGAUAGAACCAAGUCCUGUUCUAUUUUUUAUUUUUUUUUGCUCUUUUUCAAUAAUCCGUUACACUCAGAUGUAUGUCACAGAAGAAAAGAUCUGUUGCUACUUCCAUUUCAUCAUGACUUUAAGGGGAUUUCAGUCGUAUAGGGAGAAUAAUUUCAUAGAUUCUUGAAAGGUGACUGUUUUGAUUUGGCAAUGACCCAAAACUGCGCAGGAGCUAAAAUCAGAAACUCAGAACACCUUGGCAACUCCAUAGAAGCACUCUGGCAAUAAUUUACUACACAAUGAGUUUUUCACAGAGUUUUUCACUGUUUUUUCUGUAACUACUUGCAUUUUACAUUCAAACAAAAUGAAAGGGAUGACUAAUAAGAACCCCUUUGAUAGUUUCCCAAAGCAUCACUUUCAUUUUUGGACAGCUGAUGUAUAAAGUUUCAUACAAGUAGAUAAUUAACUACUCUAGUACAAAACUUUACCAAUUUGGCAUUUGGUGUUAGCUGGAAGACCUAAAGGGGUGACCACAUAAGCAGGUCAACUCUACCUCAAAAGUUAAGUGGGCCACUGUUUAAAAUGCUCGGAAACUGCAGAGUGUGAACAGUAAGAGUCCAGUUUGACUCAACAGUAUCAAAACUUUAAAACAUUGCAGUUUGUAAGAACCAUAUAAGGGAUCAAUCAGAGAAACCAAUCAAAUUGUCAUCUUCUUCUAAGUCUGAGUCAUGCCCACCACAUACAUGUGUUUAAAAUGUGUAGACCACCCUUGCAAGGGUCCUAACGAAACCUAACUACAACAAGUCUGCCGUGGGUCAUCAGUUCUCAGAAACCUUUACGUACACCCCCUUUCAGUGUGACAAGCUUCCUAUGCAGAUAUAUGAAGACAUUCAGCUUCCAAAUGCAGUGAAUGGUCUUCAAAUAAUUAUGGCCUAAAUUAUUUUCAUUUGUAUUUCAAGCCUGGUCAAAGUGCAUAUGAUUAGUUAAUGCUCUUUAAUUGCAUGUUUUAUUUGCACAAAAUAUAAAAAUCGAGUCCUAAUUAGGCAGGUUAGUAUGACUGGGGCAAAACUAAAUUAAAGUCUACAAUAGUUUACUUUGAACAAGAAUAACUAUCAAGAUGACUAGGACUUACACAAAAUGCAUGAAUGACAAGUAGUUCCCAGUUACUACAACCUGACACCAGACUGAUCACCGUAAACACAGGCUAGUCAGAAGAGCAACGAAUGUCAAGAGUUGUGGCUGAGAGAAACAUAGAGUGAGAAAGAGAGAGAGACAGAGGAGAAAACAAGAAACAGAUAGUGAGCACUGAAUGUGUCAUGAAUGAAUCUUGAACGGGGAAAUCAGUCGUGGUUUAUCGUGAAAUUCGCAGUAACUUGUGGGUUUGCAACAGCUAGAUGAAGAAGCCAAUGGAGACCAGCUUGAUUACUUGUCAGCAAUACCAGCGUACGGGAACUGUGACGCCUCAAAAAUGCGAUUUUUCCAUUUCACGCUGAAUUGAACCUUUCUUUUUACACACUGUAUUUUGAGGUUGUCUGUGUGGCCUCAUCUUCAGGUCAAAGGAUGUGAUGAGCAGUGUAUGCAGUUCCUGUCGAGUUUGUAAGUGAAAUGCCAUAUAUCUGAAACUGGGACUGCGCUAUUAAUAUAACAUUAGUAUCUAUGAUUUUUUUUUUUUUUUUUUGCAUGUGAAACUAUAAACUAGAACGUGACUGAAUGUCAGUCCAUUUUUUUUCUGUUUUUGAGGCUUAUCGGUUUAUCAACAAACAUGAUCAAUUGUCUUCUGAGCAUAGCUGACAUGUUGGAAUUUGUUUUAUAAAGACAUGAUAGAUAGAUUUGUUUCAGAUUCAUGGUCUUGUUUUCCUUGGUUCUCAUUUUUUUUCUUUUCUUUCUAGUUUGUUUCUAUGGUUUCUGAUUAGCUCACACCUUCUUCUGUUCUCCACGAUUACACUCCCUGUAUAUUUAAGUCCUGUGUUUCCUUAGUUCUUUGUCUGAUCUCCUUUAUGCUUGUGCCACAUUUAACCCUACAAUUUCCUGUUUUUC